rnacentral:rRNA from 1 species
GAUGAACGCUGGCGGCGUGCUUAACACAUGCAAGUCGAGCGAAGCGAUUUUAAGGAAGCCUUCGGGUGGAAUUAAAAUUGACUUAGCGGCGGACGGGUGAGUAACGCGUGGGUAACCUGCCUCAUACAGGGGGAUAACAGUUAGAAAUGACUGCUAAUACCGCAUAAGAGCACAGUGCUGCAUAGCACAGUGUGAAAAACUCCGGUGGUAUGAGAUGGACCCGCGUCUGAUUAGGUAGUUGGUGAGGUAACGGCCCACCAAGCCGACGAUCAGUAGCCGACCUGAGAGGGUGACCGGCCACAUUGGGACUGAGACACGGCCCAAACUCCUACGGGAGGCAGCAGUGGGGAAUAUUGGACAAUGGGGGAAACCCUGAUCCAGCGACGCCGCGUGACUGAAGAAGUAUUUCGGUAUGUAAAGGUCUAUCAGCAGGGAAGAAAAUGACGGUACCUGACUAAGAAGCCCCGGCUAACUACGUGCCAGCCGCCGCAGUAA